AUUCAGCUGAUGAGUUCCAAAUAGAACGAAACUUGAGUCCUAAAU
rnacentral:hammerhead_ribozyme from 2 species